rnacentral:lncRNA from 1 species
AUCAAUAUGCAGAAGAGGAAAAAUUUAGCAGAAGAACCCAGACACUAUGCCUCAAAAGAACAAAAUUCCUACAACUUUGAUCUUUAAAAUUCAUUAACAGAUGAUCUCAAUACAUGUUCACAUGCAUACAUGACCAUCUCAAACUUGAAUUCAUAAACUGUAGUCGGUAGUUGGGAACUACCUUCCUCACUCAUAGACCAGUCAGGAAACUUGUAGAUACAAUGUAUAUCAUGCCUCGCUAUAGUGAAAGAUCAUCGGUACCACAUCGGGAAGGUGUUCCUCCAAGCUCCACAAAAAGACACCAUGAUAAUAGUUAUAUGCACUUUGUCCCACAUUGGUAAUAUGUAAUAAGAGGGAACAUUUUUUAGUUAUAAAAAGAAGGCUUCUCAUAUGUAGAAAGGACUGACUUAAUCUCUCUCCCGAUCCCAAAUGCCUAUUGGCCACGAUAGUUGAUUCGUAAGUAAACGUAGUCAUGUCCUCUGAUGGCAUGGUGAACCACUAUAUGUCCUUGUCUCUUGCUCAUGAUUGUCUAUUGUUCGUGUUCCACCAUGAUUCUACAUAGUCCUCGGGAUUAUGCAGAAACAUUUGGUGCCGUUUGUGGGAAUCAUUACGAAAAGUCACAUUGCUCUGCCUCUGAGAGGCAGUUUAUUCAAGUCCAUGAGAGCAAUAGAUCCAUCGGGAGGUACACAAGCACAACAAAGGGCUAGCUAGUCAGUGGGUUGGCAUGCUCCUCGGUAGGCCCAAGACUGUCACCGAGAUCAACAAGUUGUUUAACCAAGUCCAAACUGCCAUCGGGCCCAAGCCAUUAGCAAGUUGUUCACCCAAGGGUUCCUCUCCCGGUGGUAGCCUCCGGUUACAAUCCAAGGAGCGACUUUUCGAGUUCUCGAUUGGCAGAGUCCGGGUCAUACCAGUCAACGAUAGUCGAUGAUCUUGAUCAUGAUUUCAUCAAGGAGCGGGUGUGCAGCCGGCUGUACCUCUCCGGGAUCACCUCCACUCGGCGCCGACCCGAUUAGCUCUCCCGGGCCAAGCUCAUCCAUUGCCGGGCAGGAGUGAUGCGUCGGGAGCCAGGUGGGCCGAGUUCAAAGAGAGAUACUUCUGCCUGGCCGAUCGUCAUCUUGUCCCGGUGACAUCCACCGGCAGUGUCGGUCAAUUGCCCGGCCGGGAUGGGCACCGCUCAAGAAGCUCGGUCAAGGCUCGUCUGGUUUCACCUGCAAAUCCACAUGGUCAAUCUGAAAUCCUAUCUGAAAGAAGCAUAAUGGUGUUGAUCUGGACACCCAGCAUCUUGCUUUGGGCACUCGCACGGCACCUGCAAAAGCUUCUCGGGGAUACAACAAUCGCUUGUUCGUCAUGUUCAAAUGGCAUGGAGUUAUCUGGUGUGCGAGUCAUAGUCCUAUUGAUGAUAGCAACAUGUCAUUCGUUUGCUCUCAGUCGGUGCAGAUCAGUUAAAAGGCACGGAAGAGGAAAUACUCUUGGCACCCUAACAACGAUUGGCCAACUGCUAUGGACACCCAUAUCUUAUCUCCAGAAAAAGUCCUUCCUGGUAGCAAUAAGUCUUGUUCUUCCCGGUGAGUCGGUGACCUCACCUAUGUUCUGAACCUCCCGAACUUGAUGACUCCAGAUUAAAAGAAUUAGCCACCGGGAGCAUAACAAUUGAAGAAGGUAGAGAAUUGACCCCAUGUGAAAGUCAGGGCUCUCCGGGUAUCGAAAGGGGAAGGCUCAGAGCCUCAGUCUAAUAUGCAAGCAGCGGGUCUCGGUGAACCAAAAAAAAAAAAAAACUAUGGACACCCGGAGCUAUUUACCUGGAAAAAGUCAACUAUCUUGUAGGCAGCCCAACUGUACUGGCCAAAAGGAUUCAUCGUCCGAGAGUAGUACGAGCAUGAAUCUAUACCUCCUAUGUGCACCCAUUCGGCAGCUAUUUUCACAGAUAAGUCCCGUCUAGAUUAUGAUUGUUAUAAUCUCGUUGGUUUGUGAAAGUUCGUAAUAUUCUACGUACAAAUCAACUUGUAUAUAUAUGAGUAUGCAUGCUGGGCUGUAGGUUUUGACAUUUGAUCGAGAGGCAUUCCACCGAGAGAGAGGCAUUCGACUGAAAGAGGCAUUCCAUCGAGAGAUUGGCAUUCCACUAAAAGAUUGGCAUUCGACGUUCAGUAUUACACAAUUGCAUGAACCAUUAUGCUCUCCGACAAUUAUUAUGCCAUAACAAUACUCGGUUGGCCCUAUAUUGUGCUGAUCAACUAAAUUUAAGCUGCUAAUCGAUCAUUCGUUCGUUUUGAAGGUACACUAACCCUCGCCCGGCCGAGUAAGAUUUGAGGCCGGGAGUCGGGAGGGGCAUUUUUUAUCUUAUCGGCGGACUUAAAGAUUACGAUAUAUAUCAAGAAAACCAAGAACCAGAAUAAGCAAGACCUGUUCAACACACGUCCUGUGUACGAACUUGGGGGGACUGGGACCGGGUACCCGUUGAUAAAUGACUGGUCUGUGGGCAUUUUAUAUAUUAAGUCCCCACUCAAGACGUGUCUUGAACGGGAACUUGGGGGGACUUGUAGUCGGUAGUUGGGAACUACCUUCCCCGCCCAUAGACCAGUCAGGAAACUUGUAGAUACGAUGUAUAUCCUACCUCGCCAUGGUGAAAGAUCAUCGGUACCACAUCGAGAAGGUGUUCCUCCAAGCUCCACAAGAAGAUACCAUAAUAAUAGUUAUAUGCACUUUGUCCCACAUUGGUAAUAUGUAAUAAGAGGGAACCUUCUUUAGCUAUAAAAGGAAGGCUUCCCAUAUGUAGAAAGGACUGAUUGAAUCUCUCUCUCCCGAUCCCAAAGGCCUAUUGGCCACGAUAGUUGAUUCGUAAGUGGACGUGGCCAUGUCCUCCGAUGGCAUGGUGAACUAUUAUAUAUCCUUGUCUCUUGCUCACGAUUGUCUAUUGUUCGUGUUCAACCAUGAUUCUACAUAGUCCUCAGGAUUAUACAGAAACAUAAACUCAAUUGAAUUUUUCUAAUUUCUNNNN